UACGUACUGCGCGAACGUUAUUCGGAAUCACUGGGCUUAAAGGGUGCGUAGGCGGCUUAUCAAGCCCGUGGUGAAAUGUCCCGGCCUAACCGGGGACGUGCUUCGGGGACUGAUAGGCUUGGGCGAUCUAGGGGUCUGUGGAACUCCCGGUGGAGCGGUGAAAUGUGUUGAGAUCGGGAGGAACGCCGGUGGCGAAAGCGACAGACUGGGGAUUGGCCGACGCUGAGGCACGAAAGCUAGGGGAGCGAACGGG
rnacentral:rRNA from 1 species